rnacentral:sRNA from 1 species
CUGUUGUACCACCACAAUUCUUAGGCUCAUCCAACAUAGUGCAGAAAAUAAUUCGGCCUUCAAUAAGCCCAUAAGCGGCAUGGUCACGGAUGCCUAAAGAUUGGCAUUUGACUAGAGAUAGAAUUCUUUGCUGAUUCUAGGGGAAUUUCACAAUGUACAGAUUCUGUAUAUAAUUGAAUACAGCUAGUAGCUUGUAUCUAACUGAAAGCUUAGU